CAAAAAGCCCGCUAUGCGUCGGCAUCAGCGGGCUUCGGUGCGGUACGACAGCGAUCGACUCGGGCCGGCUGCCGCCGGCCUUCGCUUUAGCUGUUUUGGGAAGUUGCCCCGCGUCCGCAAGCUGAUAUCAAAUCGACGCAAGGCCACAUCCUAUCACGCCUCGAUCGAAGCGUGCGC
rfam:Burkholderia cenocepacia J2315 chromosome 2, complete genome